rnacentral:rRNA from 1 species
UACAGAGGUCUCGAGCCGUUAGGCGGAAUCACUGGGCUUAAAGCGUGUGUAGGCGGAUUGCUAAGUACCUUGUGAAAUCCCACGGCUUAACCGUGGAACUGCUUGGUAUACUGGCUGUCUUGAGCCACUUAGGGGCAACCGGAACAAACGGUGGAGCGGUGAAAUGCGUAGAUAUCGUUUGGAACGCCAAUGGUGAAAACAGGUUGCUGGGAGUGUGCUGCGCUGAGACACGAAAGCCAGGGGAGCAAACGGG